rnacentral:rRNA from 1 species
GAAGCGGCAACAGCUCAAAUUUGAAAUCUGGCGCAAGCCCGAGUUGUAAUUUGUAGAGGAUGCUUCAGGGCAGCGGCCGGUCUAAGUUCCUUGGAACAGGACGUCAUAGAGGGUGAGAAUCCCGUAUGCGACCGGUUGGCACCCGUCACGUAGCUCCUUCGACGAGUCGAGUUGUUUGGGAAUGCAGCUCUAAAUGGGAGGUAAAUUUCUUCUAAAGCUAAAUACCGGCCAGAGACCGAUAGCGCACAAGUAGAGUGAUCGAAAGAUGAAAAGCACUUUGGAAAGAGAGUUAAAAAGCACGUGAAAUUGUUGAAAGGGAAGCGCAUGCAACCAGACUUGUCGGCGGUGUUCCGCCGGUCUUCUGACCGGUCUACUCGCCGCCGGCAGGCCAGCAUCAUCUGGGCGCGCCGGAUAAAGGCGCGGGGAAUGUGGCUCCUCGGAGCGUUAUAGCCCCGCGCACAAUACGGCGCCGCUCGGGUGAGGUCCGCGCUUCGGCUAGGAUGCUGGCGUAAUGGUUGUCUGCGGCCCGUCUUGAAACACGGACCAAGGAGUCUAACAUCUAUGCGAGUGUUCGGGUGUCAAACCCCUACGCGUAAUGAAAGUGAACGGAGGUGGGAAGCGCAAGCUGCACCAUCGACCGAUCCUGAUGUCUUCGGAUGGAUUUGAGUAAGAGCAUAGCUGUUGGGACCCGAAAGAUGGUGAACUAUGCCUGAAUAGGGUGAAGCCAGAGGAAACUCUGGUGGA